AUUGAACGCUGGAGGUAGGCCAAACACAUGCAAGUCGAGCGGAGCGGCGGAAGGGUGAGGAAUGCCUAGGAAUCUGCCUGGUAGUGGGGGAUAACGUCCGGAAACGGGCGCUAAUACCGCAUACUAGCAGAUGAGCAUACGUCGGAUUAGCUAGUUGGUGGGGGAAACGCCUACCAAGGCGACGAUCCGGAACUGGUCUGAGAGGAUGAUCAGUCACACUGGAACUGAGACACGGUCCAGACUCCUACGCGAGGCAGCAGUGGGGCAUAUUGGACAAUGGGCGAAAGCCUGAUCCAGCCAUUCCGCGUGUGUGAAGAAGGUCUUCGGAUUGUAAAGCACUUUAAGUUGGGCGGCGUUACCAACUGAAUAAGCACCGGCUAACUUCGUGCCAGCAGCCGCGGUAAUUC
rnacentral:rRNA from 1 species